GCCAAGCCCGGUACGCCGCAGUUCGCGACACCGUCAAGAGUGUUCACCCGUGUCCUUGAUCACUGGAACAAACGGAAGAAUGCUUCGAUGAAUGACGCGGCAUUGUUACGUUCUGAAGGAGCCGAGUGUUGCCGCGGGCCGAAGGGCAGGCCAGGCAGAAACAGCCACAAGUCUGUACAAUGCUUCACACAAACCAGGACAUGCCUCAAAACACAUACUUCAGCAGGGGCUACAGCCACCAUUUUCCCAUUU